rnacentral:rRNA from 1 species
GGGAUUGCCUUAGUAACGGCGAGUGAAGCGGCAAAAGCUCAAAUUUGAAAUCUGGCGUCUUCGACGUCCGAGUUGUAAUUUGUAGAGGUAGCUUUGGGUGUACAGCCAGGUCUAUGUUCCUUGGAACAGGACGUCAUGGAGGGUGAGAAUCCCGUAAAUGGCUUGGCCAGUGCCUAUGUAUAGCGCCUUCGACGAGUCGAGUUGUUUGGGAAUGCAGCUCUAAGCGGGUGGUAAAUUCCAUCUAAAGCUAAAUACUGGCGAGAGACCGAUAGCGCACAAGUAGAGUGAUCGAAAGGUGAAAAGCACUCCGGAAGGAGAGUUAAACAGCACGUGAAAUUGUUGAAAGGGAAGCGCUUGAGACCAGACUCAGGUAGGGUUGAUCAACCUCCAUUCUUGGUGGUGCACUCUUCUCUGCCCGGGCCAGCAACAGUUUUGGCGGUGGUAUAAAGGUUUAGGGAAUGUGGCUCUCUUCGGAGAGUGUUAUAGCCCUAUUCGUAAUGCUGCCUGUCGAGACUGAGGACCGCGCUUCGGCUAGGUUGUUGGCGUAAUGGUCUUAAGCGACCCGUCUUGAAACACGGACCAAGGAGUCUAACAUCUAUGCGAGUGUUUGGGUGGAAAACCCUUGCGCGUAAUGAAAGUGAACGGAGGUGAGAUCCCGCAAGGGCGCAUCAUCGACCGAUCCUGAUGUCUUCGGAUGGAUUUGAGUAGGAGCAUAGCUGUUGGGACCCGAAAGAUGGUGAACUAUGCCUGUAUAGGGUGAAGCCAGAGGAAACUCUGGUGGAGGCUCGCAGCGGUUCUGACGUGCAA